rnacentral:lncRNA from 10 species
GUUCACGCAGAAGCAGUUCUAUGAAGUUUGGAUGUCAAGAUUCUCAGCUCACAACAGGGAUGAGAAGAGAAGAUGGUUCUCUGUGGAGCAGAGUCACCAACAAUAGCAGGAAGGACAAAUGUGACAGCCUGAAAGACAAAGACUGGUCUUGCUCCGUCAUCCAGGCUGGAGUGCAAUGGCAUCAUUAUAGCUCACUGCAGCCUCGAACUUGUGGGCUCAAGCACACUGCAGCCUCGAACUUGUGGGCUCAAGCAAUCUUCCUACCUCAGCCUCCCAA